rnacentral:rRNA from 1 species
CGUAGUUGGAUUUCUGACUUGGCGCACCUAGCCCGCCACGGUUACGUGUGUGAGUGCCGGGAUGCGCCUGUCACUUUUCUGGUAAACUAUUGUGCUCUUCAUUGAGUGUGAUAGGUAGCCAGAUAUUUUACUUUGAAAAAAUUAGAGUGUUUAAAGCAGGCGUUUGCUAUGAAUACAUUAGCAUGGAAUAAUAAGUUAGGACUUCGGUUCUAUUUUGUUGGUUUCUAGGACUGAAGUAAUGAUUGAUAGGGAUAGUUGGGGGUGCUAGUAUUCAGCGGCCAGAGGUGAAAUUCUCGGAUUCGCUGAAGACUAACUUAUGCGAAAGCAUUCACCAAGGAUGUCUUCUUUAAUCAAGAACGAAAGUUGGGGGAUCGAAGACGAUCAGAUACCGUCGUAGUCUCAACCAUAAACUAUGCCGACUAGGGAUGAGUGAACGUUGCAUUCUCGACUUCAUUCGCACCUUAUGAGAAAUCAAAGUCCUUGGGUUCCGGGGGGAGUAUGGUCGCAAGGCUGAAACUUAAAGGAAUUGACGGAAGGGCACCACCAGGAGUGGAGCCUGCGGCUUAAUUUGACUCAACACGGGGAAACUUACCAGGUCCAGACUCAGUGAGGAUUGACAGAUUGAAGAUCUUUCUUGAUUUUGAGGGUGGUGGUGCAUGGCCGUUCUUAGUUGGUGGAGCGAUUUGUCUGGUUUAUUCCGUUAACGAACGAGACCACGACCUGCUAAAUAGUUCGAUCUAGGGCUUGCUCUAGGUACGUGACUUCUUAGAGGGACUAUCGGUGUGUAGCCGAUGGAAGUUCGUGGCAAUAACAGGUCCGUGAUGCCCUUAGAUGUUCUGGGCCGCACGCGCGCUACACUGAUGCGUUCAUUGAGCUUACACCUUGCCUGAGAGGGCUGGGUAAUCUUUGAAACGCAUCGUGCUGGG